GACGAACGCUGGCGGCGUGCCUAAUACAUGCAAGUCGAACGCUCGAACGAGGAGCUUUCUCCUCUUGGAUGAGCUGCGAACGGGUGAGUAACACGUGGAUAACCUACCUUUUAGAGGGGGAUAACUAUUGGAAACCGUAGCUAAUACCGCAUAAUAUUUUGUUACUCAUGGUUCUUAUGUGAAAGGCGCUAUUGCUCCAACUUAAGGAUGACCUCGGGUUGCUUUAGUAGUUGGGUAGGGAAAUGGCUACCUAAGGGAAGAUACAUAACCGACCCUGGAGGGUGAUCGGCCAAACUUGGACCGAGACAAGGCCCAGAACCCUACGGGGGGGAGCAGGAGGGGAAUCUUGGGAAAGGGGGCAACGCUGAACGAGCAACGCCGGGUGAGGGAAGAAGGGUUUCGGGUCGGAAAGAUCUGUUGUAAGUCAAGAACGGGUGGGAGAGUGGAAAGUUCACACUGUGACGGUAGCUUAACAGAAAGGGACGGCUAACUACGUG
rnacentral:rRNA from 1 species